rfam:Yarrowia lipolytica strain CLIB122 chromosome F complete sequence.
GGCAACCUGGCCGAGCGGUCUAAGGCGCCAGGUUAAGGCUAACACCUUAACGAAUAUCCUGGUCUCUUCGGAGGCGAGAGUUCGAAUCUCUCGGUUGUCA